rnacentral:rRNA from 1 species
AGCAGCCGCGGUAAUUCCAGCUCCAAUAGCGUAUAUUAAAGUUGUUGCAGUUAAAAAGCUCGUAGUUGAAUUUCGGGAUUGACGUGAUGGUCAUGCCUUAAGGGGUAUGAACUGUUACUGUUGAUUUCUCACCUUCUGGAGAAACUUGAUGUCCUUUAUUGGGUGUCUUGCGGAUCCAGGACCUUUACCUUGAAAAAUUAGAGUGUUUAAAGCAGGCAUUUUUGCUCGAAUACAUUAGCAUGGAAUAAUAGAAUAGGACGGUAUGGUUCUAUUUUGUUGGUUUCUAGGACCACCGUAAUGAUUAAUAGGGAUAGUUGGGGGCAUUAGUAUUCAAUUGUCAGAGGUGAAAUUCUUGGAUUUAUUGAAGACUAACUACUGCGAAAGCAUUUGCCAAGGAUGUUUUCAUUAAUCAAGAACGAAAGUUAGGGGAUCGGAGACGAUCAGAUACCGUCGUAGUCUUAACCAUAAACUNUGCCGACUAGGAUCAGGCGAUGUUAAUUUUUAAUGACUCGUUUGCACC